CUGCGCGCUGGACGGUCAGAAAUGCAACGUCGGCGGCGCGCGGCAGAUACCGGUACCGGGGGAGACGCUGAAACACCGGGAAGAGGGCGGCGAAGGCAGCACCCUCGCGUCGCAAGGCUGCCGGGU
ncrna:unclassified sequences Betaproteobacteria-1 RNA